rnacentral:rRNA from 1 species
GGUUAAGCGACUAAGCGUACACGGUGGAUGCCUAGGCAGUCAGAGGCGAUGAAGGACGUGCUAAUCUGCGAAAAGCGCCGGUGAGCUGAUAUGAAGCGCUAUCAGCCGGCGAUGUCCGAAUGGGGAAACCCGGUGCAAUCCGUUGCACCAUCAUUAACUGAAUCCAUAGGUUAAUGAGGCGAACCGGGGGAACUGAAACAUCUCAGUACCCCGAGGAAAAGAAAUCAACCGAGAUUCCCCCAGUAGCGGCGAGCGAACGGGGAGGAGCCCAGAACCAGCAUCAGUGUGUGUCUCAGUGGAAGCGCCUGGAAAGGCGCACAGUAAAGGGUGAUAGUCCCGUACACGAAGAGACACAGGCUGUGAGUUCGAUGAGUAGGGCGGGACACGUGUUAUCCUGUCUGAAUAUGGGGGGACCAUCCUCCAAGGCUAAAUACUCCUGACUGACCGAUAGUGAACCAGUACCGUGAGGGAAAGGCGAAAAGAACCCCGGCGAGGGGAGUGAAAAAGAACCUGAAACCGUGUACGUACAAGCAGUGGGAGCCCUGAUUUAUCAGGGUGACUGCGUACCUUUUGUAUAAUGGGUCAGCGACUUAUAUUCUGUAGCAAGGUUAACCGCAUAGGGGAGCCGCAGGGAAACCGAGUCUUAACGGGGCGUUAAGUUGCAGGGUAUAGACCCGAAACCCGGUGAUCUAGCCAUGGGCAGGUUGAAGGUUGGGUAACACUAACUGGAGGACCGAACCGACUAAUGUUGAAAAAUUAGCGGAUGACUUGUGGCUGGGGGUGAAAGGCCAAUCAAACCGGGAGAUAGCUGGUUCUCCCCGAAAGCUAUUUAGGUAGCGCCUCGUGAAGUCAUCUUCGGGGGUAGAGCACUGUUUCGGCUAGGGGGUCAUCCCGACUUACCAACCCGAUGCAAACUGCGAAUACCGAAGAAUGUUAUCACGGGAGACACACGGCGGGUGCUAACGUCCGUCGUGAAGAGGGAAACAACCCAGACCGCCAGCUAAGGUCCCCAAGUCAUGGUUAAGUGGGAAACGAAGUGGGAAGGCUCAGACAGCCAGGAUGUUGGCUUAGAAGCAGCCAUCAUUUAAAGAAAGCGUAAUAGCUCACUGGUCGAGUCGGCCUGCGCGGAAGAUGUAACGGGGCUAAACCAUGCACCGAAGCUGCGGCAGCGACACUCAGUGUCGUUGGGUAGGGGAGCGUUCUGUAAGCCGUUGAAGGUCCACUGUGAGGUGGGCUGGAGGUAUCAGAAGUGCGAAUGCUGACAUAAGUAACGAUAAAGCGGGUGAAAAACCCGCUCGCCGGAAGACCAAGGGUUCCUGUCCAACGUUAAUCGGGGCAGGGUGAGUCGACCCCUAAGGCGAGGCUGAAAAGCGUAGUCGAUGGGAAACAGGUUAAUAUUCCUGUACGGGCCCGAAUUGCGAUGGGGGGACGGAGAAGGCUAGGCAAGCCGGGCGACGGUCGUCCCGGUUUAAGUGUGUAGGUGGGCUGACCAGGCAAAUCCGGUUAGCCCUAACACUGAGGCACGAUGACGAGGCACUACGGUGCUGAAGUUGCUGAUGCCCCGCUUCCAGGAAAAGCCCCUAAGCUUCAGAUUCGGGUCCAUCGUACCCCAAACCGACACAGGUGGUCAGGUAGAGAAUACUCAGGCGCUUGAGAGAACUCGGGUGAAGGAACUAGGCAAAAUGGUGCCGUAACUUCGGGAGAAGGCACGCUGGCGU